rnacentral:rRNA from 1 species
GACGAACUGUGCAAACGUUAUUCGGAAUCACUGGGCUUGAAGAGUGCGUAGGCGGUUUUGUAAGUAGGGUGUGAAAUCCCACGGCUCAACCGUGGAACUGCUGGGUAUACUGGCGAUCUUGAGCCACCUAGGGGCGAGCGGAACAAGCGGUGGAGCGGUGAAAUGCGUAGAUAUCGCUUGGAACGCCAAUGGUGAAAACAGCUCGCUGGGGGUGUGCUGACGCUGAGACACGAAAGCCAGGGGAGCGAACGGG